UCAACGUAACAUUCGCCACUUGCUUCAAUUCUUGUUUUCCGCGUCUAGGAUUUGUUCUUGUAGCUCGUCUUCGAGUUCGUGAUAGCCCUGAUGUUUCUUUCCUGAAGAGCGACUUGCCCUUUCGCCCCCUCUUGGGAUUUGUGGAGAAUUUUUCUGUAUUUUGUCGGACAUAUAGUUGUGCUUUGUCUAUUGAACCUUUGUUGUGGGAAUUUCAGAAUUAAGUGGUUUUUCUGCCACGCAAUCAUUUGUUGAAGGUGUACAGCUAGAGGAUGUCCAUCUGCUUCUGCUAUUGUCUUAGUUCCGGUCGCAUUGUGUACAAUUUUUCAAAGUUGGUUGCGGAGGUUUAGUUGGUUUGAGGCUGGGUCGCGGUGGUGUUGUAGGGUUUUACGUUCAUCAUGCCUCAUCCUCACCAAGUGCUGGCUCUGCAACAAUGUAAUUCUGCAAGUAUUUGGCAAGUUCCGUGCAUUAUCUGCAGUCAUGUUUCAAACGUUAGUGUGCAGGUUUCACUUUGUACAAGCCUGCCUGCUGUACAGAUGGCGUCGUCGACGGUUCGAACAUUUGUUUUCAAUCGAUCUUCAGAAAAUUUUAGGAAUGUGCUUCGUUGUGCUGACCAAAUAUGCCGCGGUGUAUCAAAUCCGCAAAGUGGUCGGAACAUGGAAGAAUUAGAGACCACGUACUUCGAAAGUGCUUGAAACGGCGAAAUCACUUUUUUAACAUGUAAUCUAGCCACUGAAGGGGAUAGAAGUUAGAGUGUAGCAGCUAUCCCAGUUUGCACAUUUGUUCGUGUCGGUAUUGAAUAAUUAUGAUCUCUUCGUCAGUUACUCGUUGGCAGUGCUGUUUCACACUUGUAAAAAUAUAAUAUUUUUCACAAUCGUUUGGAACUGUGACUGAAUUUUGAAAUCGAUUAGUUGGGAGAGGAUGACCUCGAUGCUUUAGAGAUUGUGAGGAAAGAUGAGGAGUUUAACAAUAAUGUUGACCAGGAUUCGGACAGCCUAGCUUGUGAGUCUCAACUAACUACUUUCCAAUUAUGGUCGGCCCUUUUCUCACGGUUUCUCCAUGUCUGACAAUCUGCAGUGUUGAGCAAUUUAAUUCGUUUUGUAUCCUCUUAAUUACUUACAACAUGCCAUGAAACGUCUAGCAUGGACUUAAAUUUAUCACUUUUAAGGAUUUUGAUUACUAGAAACUAGCUCGUUAAAAAGGUUAGUGCUAUCAAGGUCUACUUCACAGGGGCAUUUAUUAGCAGCUAUUUAUUGAUUUAUUGCUAAAGUUUCGAUCAUUAAUAUUGGACGGUCUUAUUAGCACAGUGUACUUAUUGUAAAAAGUAGCUGCUGAUAACAGUGAAUAGCUGGUGGUUUCGACAAUUGUUAGAGAUUACCUGUACAAGGACAGGCAAUUUAUUUCAAUUUGUGAUGUGCCAUAGGAAAGAUUAGACUAUUCUUCAGUCAUCAUUUAAAUUGUUUGCAUAUUCAUUCGAUAUACGUGAGUUACAGUUGCGGUGAGCUUGGCUGAGGCUGCAAACGAUGUGAAGGGCAGUGAGAUCCAAGGGUUGUGUGCGAGGCCACUCAUCUAUUGGGCUUGUUUUGUUGUUGUUGUCACCGCCUUUUCCAAACCUCAGAUUGAUGCUGUGGGGUAUGUGGACAAUCUUCUUAGAAGGACCUACUCUGGCAAAUAAUUCCGCUUCAUAAAAAUCUUUUGUUAUGUAUGUAGUCUUCAAAAAUCUUUAUGUAGUGCUCGUCGCCAAUAUUAUUUCUUUUCAGCGACUUGCUCGUCAUCCUAAGAUUUUAUAAAGGACUUGUAAUCUGAGAGCA